AAAGAUAGAGGUUGCGUAUUUCAAGAGUAGUUUUUCUGAUGUGACAGGCACAGACGAGGAAAGAUUAAAGGGGAAGACGCCGAAAGAGGAGAUUUCCUGCAAAUCGAAUCUUGGGCAUACAGUGAAGAACUGUAUGACUGUCAUCUAAGCGAUUAGAUGGGGAGCUAUCA
rnacentral:ncRNA from 1 species